rnacentral:rRNA from 1 species
GUACACACCGCCCGUCACACCWUGGGAGUGGGUUUCACCAGAAGCAGGUAGUCUAACCGUAAGGAGGGCGCUUGCCACGGUGAGAUUCAUGACUGGGGUGAAGUCGUAACAAGGUWKCCGUAGGUGAACCUGCAGAAGGAUCA